rnacentral:rRNA from 1 species
GUGGGUAACCUGCCUCGAGGUUUGGGAUAACUUGGGGAAACUCGAGCUAAUACCGGAUAAGCCCACGAGGUCUUCGGACUUCGCGGGAAAAGAUGGCCUCUACUUGCAAGCUAUCACCACGAGAUGGGCCCGCGUCCCAUUAGCUAGUUGGCGAGGUAACGGCUCACCAAGGCGACGAUGGGUAGCUGGUCUGAGAGGACGAUCAGCCACACUGGGACUGAGACACGGCCCAGACUCCUACGGGAGGCAGCAGUCGGGAAUCUUGGGCAAUGGGCGCAAGCCUGACCCAGCGACGCCGCGUGAGGGAUGAAGGCCUUCGGGUCGUAAACCUCUGUCAGGAGGGAAGAACGGCGGCCGGGUGAAUAAUCCGGCUGUCUGACGGUACCUCCGAAGGAAGCGCCGGCUAACUCCGUGCCAGCAGCCGCGGUAAUACGGAGGGCGCAAGCGUUGUUCGGAAUCACUGGGCGUAAAGCGCGUGUAGGCGGCCGGGCAAGUCGGAUGUGAAAUCCCGAGGCUCAACCUCGGAACUGCACUCGAAACUGCUCGGCUCGAGUCCCGG